CGGGAAUGGAAACACUUUCAUCAACGAAGCAAGAAGAUAUGGUUGAUGUGAAUCUCAAGUCCUCAAAUGCUAAUGCAUCACAGUCCCAAGGGCAGUCAGGAGGAUGUGCUUGUUGAUUCGAUACUGACUGUUAAAAAGGCGCUCGUCUCUGCAAAGCUAGCGAUUUCUAUCCCCUCCCAUGGCUAGGUAAGGUUUUGAUGAUAUUGGCCUCAGUAGUUGACCUGUAUCACACACACGGGGAGUUCGAAAUUGGUAUGGCGGGGGUUGGAAGUUUGCUAAGCGUUAUCAAAUUACAGAGUUUUUUUUGUUUUUCUCUUCCAGUAUGAUGUACACAUUCAUGAAUAAUGUUGCUCUUUGGGUUUGGUUUGGGUUUAUUGUACGUAGUUUGUAAGAUAGUGUAUGUAAACCGAGUGGCUUUCUGGAUUACGGAUUCUCUAUCGUCUUCGCUUUUGGCUGUAUUUUUUGCUUUUUCCCUGUUUGGCAGAGUUGGGUGACUGAACUCAAGAGUUGUCAUUCGGACGUCCAUGGAUUAUUGGGCUAGCCCCCGAUCUCGAGAAUUACAGACUCCCGCCCCUCGUACUCGAUACAACUCAUUGUCUCUGACAGUGGUUGGCCCUCUUUACAAUCUCUUCGAAUCUCAAUUUAAUUAUUUUAUAUUAUUCUAAUUUCAUUCUAAAUUCUACGGCGGAUAAAUAUAUCAGCUGUCAUAAAAAAGUGUUCCGAAAUAUAAAGUUGUUUGAAAAAGAAAUCCCGCAAAAUAGUGGGGGAUAUUUAUUCCAAAUCUGCGUUGCGUUAAACUAAACUCUUUGACUCUUGGGCGCUAUUUCCCACCGAAUCGAAAUCUAUGGACCCACCCCAGCUAACGCUCCCACGUACGUAGAUAUCGACUGCCGGAGUAGUCGUCGCUUUUUUCACGGCGAGGAACCACCGCAUGCUGCCGUUGAUUGGCCAGCCUUAAUCCCCCAAAGGAAACCGUCGCCGGAUUCCUUUCGUUUGGAAGCCCCACUUCGUACCACCCCUACUUUCACUCUCUUCGCCCGCUAGUCUCAGGCUCACAAUCACUACCGCCGGCGCGGAAAAUCCUCACUUUCCAGUACUCCCUCCAUCCCUCUUCCUCUUUCAUUUCUGCUCGUCUCUGUUUCUCGGUAUUAUUCUGUUUGGUUAGUUCCUGAUGUCGAACUGAUUCCUUGCAGCCGGCGAAUAUUCUGCCGGAUUUUCCUUUUUGGCAGUCUGCACAAAAAAUCCCGAUCAUCCACCGUAAUCGGCUAUCUCUCUCUCUCCGUCACGAAACAUGGCUGGUAAGUGGUAACCCCCUCCCUCUAUCUCUCUCUGAGCUAAUUGACUUAGCAUAACUAUAACCGAGUGUACAAACGUGAAUGAAAAGGUCAGUUGGUUUUUUUUUUGUUUUAAAGGGUAAAUGAAGGAGCCAUUGUUAACAAUGAGUGAAUCCAUUAUUGACCUUAGAACAUCCUGACUUCAUGUCUACAAUUCAACAAAUCUAUAAGAAGGAUACUUCCUCUCAUGGGAGCAAUGUCUGCUGCAUUAUCUUUCACUUGCUAUAAUCUUGCCUGUUUGCUGCGGAUUAUUUGUUUGACAUCUGUUGUUUCUGUACUUUCAGGCAGACAUUCGUUUCUGAACACAUCCAAAUGGAUUGAAGAGGUUCGCACUGAGCGGGGAAGUGAUGUCAUAAUUGUACUGGUCGGAAAUAAGACUGAUCUUGUUGACAAAAGGUAAUGUUUUAUCGUUUUAGGAGUUGAUUUGAAAUGCUUUAUUUUUCAUUUGCGUACAGAUUGCUUAAUCUACAAAUGGUUGAACAACUAUAGUAUGUGCCCCCACCCCCCUUCCCCUCUGAAACCUUAGGCACACGUGUGGCAGGUGUUUCCUUAUAAUCGUACUCGUAUGAAUGAAUAUGUAACAGGAAAUUGUGAAUGUGCUGGCUAUUUUUGAAAUAUAUCCAUAAGACUCCUUUAUAUUAACCUCUUCAACAAUGACAGUACCUUCAGAAAGGAAUUAGUUGUCUGACAGUUGUGCAGAAAUACAGUAGGGGUGUGAAGAACUACUUGCAUUGAACAGUUGCAGCCUUUUGAAUCAUUGGUGAUCCUAAUUUUUGGCAGGCAAGUUUCAGUAGAGGAAGGAGAGGCAAAAGCUCGUGAGAUGAAUGUCAUGUGUAUCGAGACAAGUGCAAAGGCUGGCUUCAAUAUUAAGGUAGGGGUUGUUGCUUUGGUUUGAUUUGUAGUGAAGGAAAUUAAAUUUGUACUGAAGUCAUAUGGCUAUUGGGUUGAAAACCUUGUGCUGGAUUCUAUUUUUCUCAGGCGCUGUUCAGGAAGAUUGCAGCAGCACUGCCGGGAAUGGAAACACUUUCAUCAACGAAGCAAGAAGAUAUGGUUGAUGUGAAUCUCAAGUCCUCAAAUGCUAAUGCAUCACAGUCCCAAGGGCAGUCAGGAGGAUGUGCUUGUUGAUUCGAUACUGACUGUUAAAAAGGCGCUCGUCUCUGCAAAGCUAGCGAUUUCUAUCCCCUCCCAUGGCUAGGUAAGGUUUUGAUGAUAUUGGCCUCAGUAGUUGACCUGUAUCACACACACGGGGAGUUCGAAAUUGGUAUGGCGGGGGUUGGAAGUUUGCUAAGCGUUAUCAAAUUACAGAGUUUUUUUUGUUUUUCUCUUCCAGUAUGAUGUACACAUUCAUGAAUAAUGUUGCUCUUUGGGUUUGGUUUGGGUUUAUUGUACGUAGUUUGUAAGAUAGUGUAUGUAAACCGAGUGGCUUUCUGGAUUACGGAUUCUCUAUCGUCUUCGCUUUUGGCUGUAUUUUUUGCUUUUUCCCUGUUUGGCAGAGUUGGGUGACUGAACUCAAGAGUUGUCAUUCGGACGUCCAUGGAUUAUUGGGCUAGCCCCCGAUCUCGAGAAUUACAGACUCCCGCCCCUCGUACUCGAUACAACUCAUUGUCUCUGACAGUGGUUGGCCCUCUGCUUCUCUACUCCCCUAGCACCCUCGCCACCAUUUCAUGCGAAACGAAAGCACGGUUCCCUCAUUAUCCGGAACAAUCAUCCCCACGCCUUCCCGACCAUCCUCUUCAU
rnacentral:lncRNA from 1 species